GGUGGGAAGUGAAAAUCUUAGUGCGACAAUUGGGUCUCUAGUGGGUGUUGCGAUCUCACUAAUGCUGUGUACCUCACUUGAUAGAUAUUGAUAACAUGCACACUGAUGCAUGGAUAACUCUUUAUCCAGAUACUUCUCUAAGCAUGUUGCAACUACUUGAUCUCUAAGUCAUGUGGGCUCAUUUGAUAGAUAUUGACCACACUCCUUA
rnacentral:lncRNA from 1 species